rnacentral:rRNA from 1 species
UAGAGUGUCUUUAGCAAAGUGGAACCACGUUGAUCCAUCUCGAACUCAUGCGUGAAACAUUUUAGCGACGAAAAUACUGAAAGGGAAGCUUUUUGGAAAAAUAGUUCGAUGCU